GAUGAACGCUAGCGAUAGGCUUAACACAUGCAAGUCGAGGGGCAGCACAAGGUAGCUUGCUAUCUGGGUGGCGACCGGCGCACGGGUGCGUAACGCGUAUGCAACUUGCCCUAUACAGGAGGAUAACCCGUCGAAAGACGGACUAAUACUGCGUAUGCUCACAACUUGGCAUCAAGUGGUGAGGAAAGAAAUUCGGUAUAGGAUAGGCAUGCGUCCCAUUAGCUUGUUGGUGAGGUAACGGCUCACCAAGGCAACGAUGGGUAGGGGAACUGAGAGGUUUAUCCCCCACACUGGUACUGAGACACGGACCAGACGACUACGGGAGGCAGCAGUGAGGAAUAUGGGGCAAUGGGCGCGAGCCUGAACCAGCCAAGUCGCGUGAAGGAUGACUGUCUUAUGGAUUGUAAACUUCUUUUAUACGGGAAUAACAAGGGUCACGUGUGACUUCCUGCAUGUACCGUAUGAAUAAGCAUCGGCUAACUCCGUG
rnacentral:rRNA from 1 species